rnacentral:rRNA from 1 species
GAUGAACGCUGGCGGCGUGCCUAAUACAUGCAAGUCGUGCGAACGGACGAGUAUCUUGCUUCUCUUAUGUUAGCGGCGGACGGGUGAGUAACACGUGGAUAACCUAUCUAUUAGACUGGGAUAACUUCGGGAAACCGGCGCUAAUAUCGGAUGAUAUUUUGAACCGUAUGGUUCAUAUGUUAAAGACGGUCUUGCUGUCACUUAUAGAUGUAUCCGCGCUGCAUUAGCUAGUUGGUAUGGUAACGGCUUACCAAGGCAAGGAUGCAUAGACGAACUGAGAGGGGGAUACGACAAACUAGAAGUGAGACGAGGUACAGACUCCUACGGGAGGCAGCAGAAGGGAAAGUUACGCAAUGGGAGAAAGCCAGACGGAGCAAAGCCGCGUGAGGGAUGAAGGGAUUCGGAUCGUAAAACUAUGUUAUUAGGGAAGAAGAUAUGUGUAAGUAACUGUGAACAACUUGACGGUACCUAAUCAGAAAGCAACGGCUAACUACGUG